CCUUCGGGGUACUCGAGUGGCGAACGGGUGAGUAACACGUGGGUGAUCUGCCCUGCACUUUGGGAUAAGCCUGGGAAACUGGGUCUAAUACCGAAUAUGACCGCAUGCUUCAUGGUGUGUGGUGGAAAGCUUUUGCGGUGUGGGAUGGGCCCGCGGCCUAUCAGCUUGUUGGUGGGGUAAUGGCCUACCAAGGCGACGACGGGUAGCCGGCCUGAGAGGGUGACCGGCCACACUGGGACUGAGAUACGGCCCAGACUCCUACGGGAGGCAGCAGUGGGGAAUAUUGCACAAUGGGCGCAAGCCUGAUGCAGCGACGCCGCGUGAGGGAUGACGGCCUUCGGGUUGUAAACCUCUUUCGAUAGGGACGAAGCGCAAGUGACGGUACCUAUAGAAGAAGGACCGGCCAACUACGUGCCAGCAGCCGCGGUAAUACGUAGGGUCCGAGCGUUGUCCGGAAUUACUGGGCGUAAAGAGCUCGUAGGUGGUUUGUCGCGUUGUUCGUGAAAACUCACAGCUUAACUGUGGGCGUGCGGGCGAUACGGGCAGACUAGAGUACUGCAGGGGAGACUGGAAUUCCUGGUGUAGCGGUGGAAUGCGCAGAUAUCAGGAGGAACACCGGUGGCGAAGGCGGGUCUCUGGGCAGUAACUGACGCUGAGGAGCGAAAGCGUGGGGAGCGAACAGGAUUAGAUACCCUGGUAGUCCACGCCGUAAACGGUGGGUACUAGGUGUGGGUUCCUUCCUUGGGAUCCGUGCCGUAGCUAACGCAUUAAGUACCCCGCCUGGGGAGUACGGCCGCAAGGCUAAAACUCA
rnacentral:rRNA from 1 species